rnacentral:misc_RNA from 1 species
GGUUUCCGUAGGUGACCUGCGGAAGGAUCAUUGUCGAAUCCUGAAGAACGACCAGCGAACUUGUUUAACCAUCGCGCGGUCGAUGCGGGGGAAGGGGACUCGUCCAAUCCCCACGUGUCGGUCGCGACGGGGGGCCUAAGCGUCCCCCAAUAAACAAACCCCGGCGCGGAAUGCGCCAAGGAAAACAUAAUAGGAGGGCUAGCCUGGCCCGGCCCCGUUCGCGGAGUGCUGGUUUAGGCAUUACUUGCUCACGUAACAAAAACGACUCUCGGCAACGGAUAUCUCGGCUCUCGCAUCGAUGAAGAACGUAGCGAAAUGCGAUACUUGGUGUGAAUUGCAGAAUCCCGUGAACCAUCGAGUCUUUGAACGCAAGUUGCGCCCGAAGUCGUCAGGCCGAGGGCACGUCUGCCUGGGCGUCACGCAUCGCGUCGCCCCUCCACCCCGCGCCCCAACAUUGGGUCGGCGGGUUUGUGUGUGGGGCGGAUUGUGGCCUCCCGUGUCUGUCGAUGCGGUUGGCCAAAAAACGAGUCCCGUGCGACGGACGUCACGACAAGUGGUGGUUGGUCCACUCAACUCGCGUGUUGUCGUGCCUCGUUCCACCGUGCAAACGUGACUUGGUAUAGACCCUGAUGCGUCCGUCUCCGAACUUCGGUCAGGAGCCGUACGAUACGACCGCGACCCCAGGUC